rnacentral:rRNA from 1 species
UGCAAGUCGAACGAAGUAGCAAUACUUAGUGGCAGACGGGUGAGUAACAUGUAGGUAUCUUCCCUUUGGUGAGGAAUAACACGAGGAAACUUGUGCUAAUACCUCAUAAGUCUUUACGGAGAAAGCUUUAUGCGCCAAUGGAUGAGCCUGCACUUGAUUAGUUUGUUGGUGGGGUAAUGGCCUACCAAGACUUUGAUCAAUAGCUGAUCUGAGAGGAUGAUCAGCCACAUUGGGACUGAGACACGGCCCAAACUCCUACGGGAGGCAGCAGUAGGGAAUAUUGCACAAUGGAGGAAACUCUGAUGCAGCGAUGCCGCGUGAGUGAAGAAGGCCUUUGGGUUGUAAAGCUCUUUCGUCGGGGAAGAAAAUGACGGUACCCGAAUAAGAAGGUCCGGCUAACUUCGUGCCAGCAGCCGCGGUAAUACGAAGGGACCUAGCGUAGUUCGGAAUUACUGGGCUUAAAGAGUUCGUAGGUGGUUAAAAAAGUUGGUUGUGAAAUCCCGAAGCUUAACUUCGGAACUGCAAUCAAAACUUUUUAGCUAGAGUAUGAUAGAGGAAAGCAGAAUUUCUAGUGUAGAGGUGAAAUUCGUAGAUAUUAGAAAGAAUACCAAUUGCGAAGGCAGCUUUCUGGAUCAUUACUGACGCUGAGGAACGAAAGCAUGGGUAGCGAAGAGGAUUAGAUACCCUCGUAGUCCAUGCCGUAAACGAUGUGUGUUAGACGUUGGAAAUUUAUUUUCAGUGUCGCAGCGAAAGCAGUAAACACACCGCCUGGGGAGUACGACCGCAAGGUUAAAACUCAAAUGAAUUGACGGGGACCCGCACAAGUAGUGGAGCAUGUGGUUUAAUUCGAAGAUACGCGCAGAACCUUACCAACACUUGACAUGUUCGUCGCGGCUCUAAGAGAUUAGAGCUUUCGGUUCGGCCGGACGAAACACAGGUGCUGCAUGGCUGUCGUCAGCUCGUGUCGUGAGAUGUUGGGUUAAGUCCCGCAACGAGCGCA